UUGGGCGUAAGGGCUCGCAGGCGGUUUCUUAAGUCUGAUGUGAAAGCCCCCGGCUCAACCGGGGAGGGUCAUUGGAAACUGGGAAACUUGAGUGCAGAAGAGGAGAGUGGAAUUCCACGUGUAGCGGUGAAAUGCGUAGAGAUGUGGAGGAACACCAGUGGCGAAGGCGACUCUCUGGUCUGUAACUGACGCUGAGGAGCGAAAGCGUGGGGAGCGAACAGGAUUAGAUACCCUGGUAGUCCACGCCGUAAACGAUGAGUGCUAAGUGUUAGGGGGUUUCCGCCCCUUAGUGCUGCAGCUAACGCAUUAAGCACUCCGCCUGGGGAGUACGGUCGCAAGACUGAAACUCAAAGGAAUUGACGGGGGCCCGCACAAGCGGUGGAGCAUGUGGUUUAAUUCGAAGCAACGCGAAGAACCUUACCAGGUCUUGACAUCCUCUGACAACCCUAGAGAUAGGGCUUUCCCUUCGGGGACAGAGUGACAGGUGGUGCAUGGUUGUCGUCAGCUCGUGUCGUGAGAUGUUGGGUUAAGUCCCGCAACGAGCGCAACCCUUGAUCUUAGUUGCCAGCAUUUAGUUGGGCACUCUAAGGUGACUGCCGGUGACAAAC
rnacentral:rRNA from 1 species